rnacentral:lncRNA from 1 species
GGGUUAGGUUGUGGUUGGUUCUCCUACAAAACCAACUGGAUUAAGAUUAUGAUCUCGAAAAACCAUCUUGCUGUAAUCUCGAUGAUUAUAGUGAAAUUCUCAAGUGGAUUGCUUGGAGAGUGGAUGUAGAUGUUGGGCUAAUACCGAAUCACUAUACAUCAUUUGUAUAUGUGCUAUCCCCUCUUGCAUUAUAACUUUAAUUUUCUGCUGAU